rnacentral:rRNA from 1 species
UACGUAGGGGGCAAGCGGUGUCCGGAUUUAUUGGGCGUAAAGAGCGUGUAGGCGGUUUGGUAGGUCCGCUGUGAAAACUCGAGGCUCAACCUCGAGACGCCGGUGGAAACCAUCAGACUAGAGUCCGGAAGAGGAGAGUGGAAUUCCUGGUGUAGCGGUGAAAUGCGCAGAUAUCAGGAAGAACACCCGUGGCUAAGGCGGCUCUCUAGUACGGUACUGACGCUGAGACGCGAAAGCGUGGGGAGCGAACAGG